rnacentral:lncRNA from 1 species
AUGGAGGGGGCCGAGGCUGAGGUCACAGAGAACAGCUGGGAGGCAGUUGCUGGAGUUCCCGCGAGUACUGAUGAGCCUACAGUGGGGCUGUGGGGAUGGAGAGUCAGGGAUGCUGGAACCAGAAAAGGCCAUGGUUGCAGGGUCUGUUACAUUUCCCAGAAUGGUUCCCAGCGCUGGAGAUAAUUCCUUUUCGGAGAACCUACAUUUCUCACCUGCUGAUUGCAAUUAGCCACUGCCAGCUGGGGCCUGGUGUGCAGCUGAAAAGCUAACAAGAAGUGGAGACCACGCGGAACCCAGACAGGGCAGAGGAUGCGACUGAAUAAGGAAUGGUGCCCAUGUUUAUGAGCCGCUCCUGUGAAUUAAGGUUUCCCGACCUUCUGGAUGGCCCUCCCUCUUCCACCUCUAUGCUCCCCAUCUCUCCUCUAUUUUUUUUUUUUUUGUCUCUGGGUUUGUGGCCCACACUUAACAUCACAGUCACGAAUUUACCACAUUUUGUUAGGCAAUAAACAGCCUUGGAAGAGAAAUGAAAUUCGACUA